GCCUGGCACUUUAAAAUAAAUCAACACUGACUUUCAGUUACUUUAAAAUGCUGGGCUGAAGAUUAGAGACAGAGAAAAAAACAAAUUUUCUCUGAUCACUUGUCAAGGUCCUGAGAAGGAGGCAGCCCUAAGCUACAGACGGCUAGAGAGCAGCAAGAGACCUCCUUGAGAGCAAAGGAAGGGAUGGAGAGCCACAGGGCAAGGAACCAGCUGAAGGAGGCUUGGACCUGUGMGUGAAGGAGCUCUCCUUCUGCUUGAUCUUGGCUCUGGACCAACUUUCUGUGCACUCUUUGCGAAGAAACAAGUUUGAAUCAUUGUCUCUCUUGUUUUCUCUUGUAUACCAUCCUAUAGCAAACCUGAACACUUGGAAGCGCUGCGGAGGAAGGGGGAUUUUGAGAAUUUUUUUAAUCUGAUUCUCUUGCGACCUGGGCUGGCAGUCUCAAGGGAUAGCUUCAGGGCAGAAGUGGAGCAGAGGGGAGCUGGUUUGAUCUCAGCACUGUGGCACAGGAAACCCACUGAGGUGGAAGGGAGGACUCCAACAGUGCUCGAAACCUGCUUGGACUCUGGUAGAGUGAAAAGCUCUCAUUAUCUGUUCUGAUGUGGAGUUUGUUUCCUUUUUUUUUCUUAACUGCAAUAGUAGCAGUUAUUCUGAGAYUGAAAAGAGAAAAGCUUCUAUCGAUCACGUCCAGACUGAACACCACUCUUUUUUUGUUCUGUUUUGCCUUAUGGCGGGGUUGACRUGACUGUGUUUUGUUCUGUGUCAGAAGGAAAACAAACUCUGAAAUACCAAAUUCUUUCACACAAUGGACUUUCCUUUCUCUAAAUAUCCCUGCGAGAUGGGCCUCUUACAGCUCUCUCCUCUUCCCAGAAAAAGAGAACAAAUACUAGGAAAUCUGGAGAGAUGAACUGCACUGAGUUUGGCUGCUGCGGAGGAGCGCGGAGACCAGCCCCACGUUAGUCACCGGCUCCACUUCCGGCUGAUCCCCACCCGGAGGGGGUAGGUGGACCUUCGGCAAGCACUGAUGGUCUCCGUGAUGGUGGUAGCUUUCUGCUGUGCACCUCAGACUCCUUUCUGUGUCUCUGCAAGUCGUGAUAGGGGAUARUUUCAGGUUCGCCUCUCUCAUCCCAGCCCCUCCG
rnacentral:lncRNA from 1 species